CCUACGGGGUGCAGCAGUGGGGGAUAUUGCACAAUGGGGGGAACCCUGAUGCAGCGACGCCGCGUGGGUGAAGAAGCGCCUCGGCGCGUAAAGCCCUGUCAGCAGGGAAGAAAAUGACGGUACCUGACGAAGAAGCCCCGGCUAACUACGUGCCAGCAGCCGCGGUAAUACGUAGGGGGCAAGCGUUAUCCGGAUUUACUGGGCGUAAAGGGGGCGCAGACGGGGGUGCAAGUCAGGAGUGAAAGCCCGGGGCCCAACCCCGGAACUGCUCUGGGAACUGCGUGGCUGGAGUGCAGGAGGGGCAGGCGGAAUGCCUGGUGUAGCGGUGAAAUGCGUAGAUAUCAGGAGGAACACCGGUGGCGAAGGCGGCCUGCUGGACUGCAACUGACGUUGAGGCCCGAAAGCGUGGGGAGCAAACAGGAUUAGAUACCCUUGUAGUC
rnacentral:rRNA from 1 species